rnacentral:rRNA from 1 species
GGCACCACAAGAACGGUGGAGCAUGUGGCUUAAUUUGACUCAACGCGGGAAAUCUUACCGGGUCCGGACACACUGAAGAUUGACAGGCAAUAUUAAAUAAAGAAAAUUUUUGGACUAUCUGAUAUUUAUGUUAAAUAUGCUAGUCCUUUCAUGAUUAUGUGAUAGGUGGUGCAUGGCCGUUCUUAGUUCGUGGAGUGAUCUGUCUGCUUAAUUGCGUUUCACUAAGGGCUUAUCUAAUUAUAACGUGUGUUGCUAGAGUUUUAUACCUUUGUGGCCCCUUUAAUUAGUGUGUGUCUAUAAUGGUAGCUUUGGCUCACACAAUUAAGUCCUGAAAGCAACGAACGUGACCG